UCACAGCCAUCCCGUUCUCGUUCUCAUUAGCUCUUAAUUGAGUUCACCCGCACGUGCGGCGACGCAUUAUUUUGCGUUGAUCCCAAACGCGUAUUAAAAUGGUCCCGCGGUUGCUUGUUUGCUUUUUGUGCGCUUUUGACUGAACAAUCCGGACAACGUGGCCACCAACGGGGGAGCGAGGACGCCCGCAUUGUUUGUCAAAUUCAGGACUGGCGCUGGAAGCUGUAGGUGGAGGGAAGACCAGGAGUGGUGCAGCUCUGCAGAUGCUGAAGGGGACUGAGGCGACGCAGUCGGAGGUCCCUGCGGUGGCGGUCAGCGGGAGGUGUCAAGACCAACCAGCUCCUCGUCCAGGAAAGGUCACGAUGGAAGAGCAGAUGGCUGUGCAGUUGCCAUGGUGGAGAGACCCAGAGUACGAUGACCGAACAGUUGAUCUACAACGAUGGCCUACUCCCCAUCCACCCUGAGGAUCCCUGGCUACACCUACAAUCCAAUCUACCCCAGACAUAACCACUCGGAGCUCAACAACUCCUGCAACUCCCCCUGCCUCCUACUCACCAGACUGUUAACACUUUACCAUUUGAACUUUAAAACAAAGUACUGUAAUUCACACCAUGUUGUAGGAAAAGCAUGUUUAGAAUGACUUGUACAUUUUAUUUCUGUGACCCCAACUAUUGUAUUUCUAACCCAGUUACCUCUGAACCCUCUUUCUAAGGGAGCGACUAAAGGGACAAAGCUGGAGCUAACCUGAGCUUAACAAUCUUUCUAAUCUUUCUUUCUAAUGUACUAAAUUGAAUCAUAUAAAAGGCCUAAAGUAACUUGUUUAACAAAACAAAAAGCCAACCUUAUCCCCAAACUUAACCAUCAAACUAAAGAUCUCAAAUGCCUAAACUCUCUUACCUUAACCGAGUACCUAAACCGAACCAUUUAACUAAACAUCUCGAAGGCCUAAACUCGCUUACCUCAACCUAACCUAAUCCCAAAACUUGACCAUCUAACUAAAGAGCUCAAAUUCCUAAACUCGCUUACCUCAACCUAACCUAGUACCCAAACCUGACCAUCUAACUAAAUAGCUGAAAUGCCUAAACUCUUACCUUAACCUAGUACUUAAACUUGACCAUCUAACUAAACAUCUCAAAUACCUAAACUCUUUCCUAAUAUCUAAACAAUCUUUAAUGCAAUCACUAAUGCCUAAACUUAACCAAACACCAAUAAUAAAAGUUAACCAUCCUUAAUCUUAAACCCAAACCAGAAUUGUCCCUGGGUCGCUCCACUUUGUUUCUUUAAAGGUAUCUCUUUUCCCCUGCAUCUGUGUUUUAUUCCUUGAGGACUCCAAGUGCUUCAGAUGAUUUUUGAAAACUUGUUUAAUUAAUAAAGAUACUUUAUCUUUACAGAUUUUGUUUUGGGGAAUUGGGACAGCUGAGCAGCUUAAGCAUACUUACUGGUGAACUUGAUCUGUAGAUAUCAAUUUUAGGACUAUGAAGCCAAUAACAUAAGGCCGGAUAUGUGACAAGUCGGUAGACAUUGAUCGAGGAGUUAAUUGGUAAAUAUCUAACAUGGAACCAAAUGCCUUUUAUUUGAUCUCUUACCAGGCUAUCGCAGUAGGGGAAUCUGAAGGAGUACCAUACUGUGUUGCAUGGGUUCUUGUUAGAUUGCAUUAUGGCUGAGGCCAUUGAUCAAGAUUGUUAAUUUGAAGAAUAUGAAUAAAGAGUACUUGAAGUGGAUUGUUAAAUGAUUUUCAAAUUUGUUACAAUACAGAAAUCAGUUUUGAAUGCAUCUAGGUGAAGUGGUUAUUGGUACUAUAAAGCACCAAGAAUAACAGGCUAUGUAUAAAUAAUGACCACCAUAUUUUCUGUUUAAUAAAACAAAUUGU